rnacentral:rRNA from 1 species
UGUGUGUUAGUGGAAGCGUCUGGAAAGGCGCGCGAUACAGGGUGACAGCCCCGUACACAAAAAUGCACAUGCUGUGAGCUCGAUGAGUAGGGCGGGACACGUGGUAUCCUGUCUGAAUAUGGGGGGACCAUCCUCCAAGGCUAAAUACUCCUGACUGACCGAUAGUGAACCAGUACCGUGAGGGAAAGGCGAAAAGAACCCCGGCGAGGGGAGUGAAAAAGAACCUGAAACCGUGUACGUACAAGCAGUGGGAGCACGCUUAGGCGUGUGACUGCGUACCUUUUGUAUAAUGGGUCAGCGACUUAUAUUCUGUAGCAAGGUUAACCGAAUAGGGGAGCCGAAGGGAAACCGAGUCUUAACUGGGCGUUAAGUUGCAGGGUAUAGACCCGAAACCCGGUGAUCUAGCCAUGGGCAGGUUGAAGGUUGGGUAACACUAACUGGAGGACCGAACCGACUAAUGUUGAAAAAUUAGCGGAUGACUUGUGGCUGGGGGUGAAAGGCCAAUCAAACCGGGAGAUAGCUGGUUCUCCCCGAAAGCUAUUUAGGUAGCGCCUCGUGAAUUCAUCUCCGGGGGUAGAGCACUGUUUCGGCAAGGGGGUCAUCCCGACUUACCAACCCGAUGCAAACUGCGAAUACCGGAGAAUGUUAUCACGGGAGACACACGGCGGGUGCUAACGUCCGUCGUGAAGAGGGAAACAACCCAGACCGCCAGCUAAGGUCCCAAAGUCAUGGUUAAGUGGGAAACGAUGUGGGAAGGCCCAGACAGCCAGGAUGUUGGCUUAGAAGCAGCCAUCAUUUAAAGAAAGCGUAAUAGCUCACUGGUCGAGUCGGCCUGCGCGGAAGAUGUAACGGGGCUAAACCAUGCACCGAAGCUGCGGCAGCGACACUAUGUGUUGUUGGGUAGGGGAGCGUUCUGUAAGCCUGUGAAGGUGUGCUGUGAGGCAUGCUGGAGGUAUCAGAAGUGCGAAUGCUGACAUAAGUAACGAUAAAGCGGGUGAAAAGCCCGCUCGCCGGAAGACCAAGGGUUCCUGUCCAACGUUAAUCGGGGCAGGGUGAGUCGACCCCUAAGGCGAGGCCGAAAGGCGUAGUCGAUGGGAAACAGGUUAAUAUUCCUGUACUUGGUGUUACUGCGAAGGGGGGACGGAGAAGGCUAUGUUGGCCGGGCGACGGUUGUCCCGGUUUAAGCGUGUAGGCUGGUUUUCCAGGCAAAUCCGGAAAAUCAAGGCUGAGGCGUGAUGACGAGGCACUACGGUGCUGAAGCAACAAAUGCCCUGCUUCCAGGAAAAGCCUCUAAGCAUCAGGUAACAUCAAAUCGUACCCCAAACCGACACAGGUGGUCAGGUAGAGAAUACCAAGGCGCUUGAGAGAACUCGGGUGAAGGAACUAGGCAAAAUGGUGCCGUAACUUCGGGAGAAGGCACGCUGAUAUGUAGGUGAAGUCCCUCGCGGAUGGCGCUGAAAUCAGUCGAAGAUACCAGCUGGCUGCAACUGUUUAUUAAAAACACAGCACUGUGCAAACACGAAAGUGGACGUAUACGGUGUGACGC